UGAGGGCUGUGGUUCCAAUUAGAGCACCUUCUGCUCAGGCUCAUGGGCUGCAGAGCUGCUUUUGGCAGUCAGGAGCAGCAGGACACAACCCUAUAGUGACCCCAUGAGAGUGGUCCUCAGAGGCAGGACCAGGCCCUCAUCUCCCUGUAAGGAGAAGAAAUAACAUGGGUUUGAAACCUCUGAACUGCAAACAGCUUGGAAACCUGACAAAAUGCAUUGCUGCCACCUCUACUCCCUGACAUAAUUUUGUUCUGUUAUACCUGACUGCAUAGCUGUAAAUACUCAAUACAGCAGGGGUUAAUGCUGUGAGUAUGCUGCCAGUUCUGGAUGGACAGAAAGAAGAGCCACAAUAACUGAAUAUAAUGCAAUGUAGAGAUGCAAUUUAACAUAGACAAACUGCAGCUGAUUGACUUAUUACACUCUUAGAAGAAAAUUCUCCAACCACUCUCAAUCUGAGUAACAAAGUGGAUGAAAGCUCCAGCUUUUGCACUGAAUUCCCUGUUUCUGGGCUCCUUGCUGCUGGGGGCUCCCAUUUACCUGAGGACGAGACUGCUGGCUCUGUGUGUGCUCAUAUGAACUUGGGGAAAACCUCUGGUGUGGAUAUGAAGGAUUGAAAAUGAGCAAUAAAUAAUAGCAAAAUAGUGGGCUCUAAUACAUUCUGCUAAGAUACUGGACUGUUUUCAGUUCUGUGCAGCUGACAGUUUUCUGUUUUCAAUAACUUAAAGUGGAGCCAUAGAAUUUCAAUCACCUUCCAUCUUAUGGAGAGCUGAAUUCCUUCAGAAUAACUCAGAGGAAUUGACUGAACCGUAUUUUUCAUGUUUCCCAAAUGAGCAGCGCUGUGCCAUGGAAAUUAGGAUGGAACGGGAAACAGACGGCUGUGCUACCUCCAUCCUGCUGAGGAGAUGAAGGUCAAAGACACCUUCAUUCUUCUCAGCACUUUUCCCAAAGGGAUUGUAAACAAGAUCACAGCCUAGUGCGAUUAAUUGUGAAUAAAACCAAUUCCUAUUGCCUCCUAACCAGACUGAGAG
ensembl:lncRNA